rnacentral:lncRNA from 1 species
CUACUUUAAAAAUGUCUACCACAUCAAUAGAUAUCUUUUACCAAAUACCUGCAUUCACAACUCUCACUGGCCACUUCAUUCAAAGACAAAAAUCCAAUCAUGAGCAUCUUUUACACUGAGCAAGGAAUAAUAAGCCAAGUGCCAUUUGCUGCCUCUACAUAGUCAUUUUUAAUAAAUGAGAUUUUGAUUUUUGGUUGUUGUUUCAUUUCUGUUUUUAAUCUUCUUGUGCUGAGAGAGGUAAGUGCCUAAUUCCAUUGAACAAUUCAUGUGAAAAAGGAGAAAUUUAUUGGCUUCUCUGCAAAUUAAACUCAUCUUGAAACCAUACCAUGAUAGAAAAGUUAACAGGGGGAAGCACUUGAAUUCAGACUGGAGAAAAAUUAAAAGCUUGCAAAGCAAAUAAGAGAGUCUGGAAAGAAUUUCACAAAGAGAGAGAGAGAGAACACCAAACACCACUGGAGAACAACAAUUUUCAGAGGAAGCCUGGAGCUUAGGCUGUCAAAGGAAGGAUAGUGAGGAAUAGGUAGGCAAGAGUGAGCUAUGAUUGCACUACUGCACUCCAGCCUGGGUAACACAGCCAGAUCCUGUCUCUCAAAAGAAGAAAAUAAAAGAAAAAAAAGUAAUGUCAAAACCAGAAUUACUUUUGCAUCAACUUGAUAGCAUAAUCAAAUCAUGGUACUGUGUUCCCCAGCUACUCUGAACAGAAAUGUGAUGCUGAAUUGCAAGUUGUGGGUGAUGUGAACUUCCAAUGAAGGUGAUUUGCUGAUGGAUGUAGGCUGGCUAUCAUGCCGGCUCCUCUCCAACCCCAUUCCAUUUGAGGUACCAGUGUUCUUCCAAUAUAACUAACUCCAAAUACAAAAAGCAUUCUCUGGCCCUGAGUGUCAGAAAUCCUUAGCUUCAAACUGUGAUAAAUUUAGGGAACUCAGAGCAGCUGCAUUGACACACAUUUCUCAGGCUAUCUCUCUUCAUUUACUCCAUUCAUGGAGAAUUCUUCUUGUCAUGGUGUUACAGCCCUUGUGUCAGGAAAGACUUGUAUAAUUUAGAAAUGUGUUCCUAAAAUAGUGAAAGGGCUAAAAUGUCUCAGAGGCAUAUAAUGACCUCAAAGGACUCCAACAAGAGGAACCUUGCCAGAGAGAGCUGAUCACAUGGAACUGCAGAUGAGGCAGCAACAUGAAUGGGAUCCAACCCAUUAGUCCAACAGUUUAUACCUGCAUGUAAUUAAAGGGACACCAAUAAAUAAGUGCUUUGAUAUUUAGAGAAGUGAGAUGUAAAAUCAUGGAUUCAUGGAACUUGAUAUCGUAGGACUCUUCAAGGUCAUCUAUUCUAGCCAGUGGUCAGCUGUUGCUUGAAUUUCAUUUACAAUUGUCUUGGUAAGUGAUCUUCAGUCUCUGCUUGGUUAUUUCCAGUAGCAGAGAACUCACCACUUCCUGCAGGUGAUUCUCUUCUUAUAAUACCUAAUUUUUGUCUUGGUUUUGGUUUUGGUUUGAGGCAGGGUCUUGCUCUGAUGCCUAGGCAGAAAUGGAGCAGCAAGACCACAGCUUACUGCAGCAUCAACCUUCCAAACUUAAGCAAUCUUCCCACCUCAGCUUCCUGAGUAGC